AGAGUUUGAUCCUGGCUCAGGAUGAACGCUGGCGGCGUGCCUAAUACAUGCAAGUCGAGCGAACGGACGAGAAGCUUGCUUCUCUGAUGUUAGCGGCGGACGGGUGAGUAACACGUGGAUAACCUACCUAUAAGACUGGGAUAACUUCGGGAAACCGGAGCUAAUACCGGAUAAUAUUUUGAACCGCAUGGUUCAAAAGUGAAAGACGGUCUUGCUGUCACUUAUAGAUGGAUCCGCGCUGCAUUAGCUAGUUGGUAAGGUAACGGCUUACCAAGGCAACGAUGCAUAGCCGACCUGAGAGGGUGAUCGGCCACACUGGAACUGAGACACGGUCCAGACUCCUACGGGAGGCAGCAGUAGGGAAUCUUCCGCAAUGGGCGAAAGCCUGACGGAGCAACGCCGCGUGAGUGAUGAAGGUCUUCGGAUCGUAAAACUCUGUUAUUAGGGAAGAACAUAUGUGUAAGUAACUGUGCACAUCUUGACGGUACCUAAUCAGAAAGCCACGGCUAACUACGUGCCAGCAGCCGCGGUAAUACGUAGGUGGCAAGCGUUAUCCGGAAUUAUUGGGCGUAAAGCGCGCGUAGGCGGUUUUUUAAGUCUGAUGUGAAAGCCCACGGCUCAACCGUGGAGGGUCAUUGGAAACUGGAAAACUUGAGUGCAGAAGAGGAAAGUGGAAUUCCAUGUGUAGCGGUGAAAUGCGCAGAGAUAUGGAGGAACACCAGUGGCGAAGGCGACUUUCUGGUCUGUAACUGACGCUGAUGUGCGAAAGCGUGGGGAUCAAACAGGAUUAGAUACCCUGGUAGUCCACGCCGUAAACGAUGAGUGCUAAGUGUUAGGGGGUUUCCGCCCCUUAGUGCUGCAGCUAACGCAUUAAGCACUCCGCCUGGGGAGUACGACCGCAAGGUUGAAACUCAAAGGAAUUGACGGGGACCCGCACAAGCGGUGGAGCAUGUGGUUUAAUUCGAAGCAACGCGAAGAACCUUACCAAAUCUUGACAUCCUUUGACAACUCUAGAGAUAGAGCCUUCCCCUUCGGGGGACAAAGUGACAGGUGGUGCAUGGUUGUCGUCAGCUCGUGUCGUGAGAUGUUGGGUUAAGUCCCGCAACGAGCGCAACCCUUAAGCUUAGUUGCCAUCAUUAAGUUGGGCACUCUAAGUUGACUGCCGGAG
rnacentral:rRNA from 1 species